GAAAGUGCAUUUCGUCACAUAGACAAUCAAGGUAACAGUGCAUUGCACCUUGCUGCCAGGUAUAAGGAACAUAGGCCCUGGCGCGUCCCUGGUGCUGCCAUGCAAAUGCAGUGGGAAUAUAAGUGGUACAAGGUACAUGUUCUUCGUAUCAAUCUCAUAAUUUUAGCAUGUUAACAAGUGUUUUGUGAAAGAGAACAUAGGCUUCGUACCAUCAAAGACAUUGUGUGUAAUCUUAAAUAUCAUAUAUACAAUGAUGAGUACUAAUAAGUUGAUAGUGCAAACGUUUUUUAUAAUACACAGUAAUUGAACUCAGACAAAAUGAGCUAUGCACUUGUAGAAAGGACAUGUGUAUCAGAUGUUCACAUUUAGUUUCUGACAAUGCUUUUAAAAGUAUUACCUCUAUGAGAAGGAACAUGUGGGAAGAAGAACAAAUAUAAGUUUUGUUUUUCUUUGCUCACAAUUUUUGUGCCAUUUCAGCUUGUUAAGAAUUCUAUGCCAGCAAAUUUCUAUGCACGUUACAAUAACAAGGGGCAAACAGCUAAACAGGUUUUCAUCACCAGUCACGAACCACUUGUGAAAGAGGGGAGGAAAUGGCUGUCGAAAACCUCAGACUCGUGCACACUAGUUGCAGCACUUGUGGCAACAGUUGCAUUCACAACCUCAACAGCAAUACCAGGGGGUUCCAGUGAGGAAACUGGUG
rnacentral:lncRNA from 1 species